CAGUCUGAUUAAAAGGGAACUUCUGAAAGUGAUGUUAACUUAAACAGCACAGCAGCAGCAGAAGGGAAAGGGGAGCACAGAGAUGGAGGAGAGAAUUCAGAGGAGGAGCAGUGGAUUAAUGUCAAGCAACAGUAUGCUCUGAGUUGAAGGAAGAGUACUACCCCAAGGACCACGGAGACAAAAUAGAUGAUCGAUGCCAAAGAAGUCAGGGUGUUAAUUCUUAAUAUAUCCAGGAGAAGGUUUUGAAGCCCUCCAGAAUAUCCUUCCUUUUUCUGAAGAAGUCUGGCUAGUAAAACGGCAGGUCACGCAACACCAUCGACACUUGGUCUGCAGGAUCCCAGACCAUUUCCAAGACCUCCUAUCUGCAAGUCCCACCUGCCCUUGAUGCCUGUGACAGUAGGACCCUUUUUGGAAGGUUUCUAGACCAUCUUUACCACCCUGAGCGUGUUGUGUGAUGUCCCCUCCAGGACAGAUGGGAUGCAUGGGGGAAGCCCAGACCCCUCCAGAGGAAAUCACCGCUGAAUCAUGCUGCAGCUAAAUGCACCUUGGCACAUGCUCCAAAACACGGAGGCACAACCCAACGGCAUCCCCUUUUGCAUUCUUCUGCCUCCUACCCUUCUCCCUUGCUGUGCACCUAUUUAGUUGCUUGAGAGCCGCCCCCAGAGAGCAGGGAAGCAACAUGGAGCUGGGACAGUGUGUCAUCAAGAUAGCUAAUGAUAGCAGAGUAGACAGAGCUAUUUCCAGAAUGAUUAAUACUAUUAGCACAUGCUGAAGCUUAAGGCUGAACACAGUCUUUAGAGAAAUGGGUUUGAUGUAAAAAGUGAAUAAAUGAGACAACUGUCAGGACAAUGAGUGGUGAAUCAAGUGAAGAUCCUUAGUGUGGGAGAUGGAAAGCCCUGCCUGCUGGCCUGUUUUCACUAACGCUGCUGAUAAAAUUCCCAUUGCCCUUCAGGCUGGAGAAAUAGGGCAGCAAUUGUGUGUGGCACAGCGGUAACCCAACUAGCAGGCACCAAGGUUGCUCCCACAACUAAUUAGCCACACGGCACUUUAGCAGGGGCAGAAUGAUGGUAAAACCCUGGGAUCCAAGGCAUUGCUACCCUCACAGCCCAAACUGUGCACCACGGCUCCUGGAGCCUAUUUGGGGGAUCUUUGUACUGCCCUUUACUGUACAUGCCUUAAGUGCUUGCAAAAAUACCAGUCUGAGGGCUCGUCCUGUUGCUGAAUAAAAAGCACGUCUUAAAAGGACCAUCCGAUUUAUACUGUCUUCUCAUAAUCCCCACUCUGGAGGUCUCAAAUGCCAUAAUUGAAAACCCGCUGUUCAUCUUCUGAAAGUCAGGUUUAACCUACUAUAGGCAGCUCCCAGAAGGACAGUAUUUUGCAUAAUCAGUUACAUUGCAGGGAAUAUGUUUAGCAUUUUUCUGUUUUUCUUCUCCUGACACUUUUCUCACAGGAAAGCAGGCAUACAAUAUCUAGCCAUAGCCGAGCAAUACCCUCUUCCCUAAUUCCUUUUUUUAAGCCCAGUCAUCAAAGCUACUUGUUUUCUGAAGAAUAUCGCAUUGUAUGGGCAGUUUUUAAUUUCCUUUUUGAAAAUCUAGUCUUCUCUUUCUUAUGUGAGGUAUCUUGACAAUAGAUGUCUUGAAUGGAUUCACCAAAAUCUGGUGGGUUUUGUUACUUUACAUGUGUGUUUGCAAAGAAGUCAUAUGCUCAGGGUGUUUCUCUGGAGUAGCUAAUUCAUCUUGGACCGAGCCACAUGAUCCCCUUUUCCAGUCUUGCCUUAUGGCCUCUGAGGAAUGUUGCAUUGGCUGCGAGGGAAUUACUAGGUCUUGGCAAGACACGUUAAUAUCCUCGCAAAGACUUGUUAGGGACCAAGACUUCAGCCUCCAACUAUUUCCUCUGAUAAAGCGGAGUAUUCACAGCAGUUCAUUAGUCUUGAAUCACCAGUUUGACUUUGUUUGAGAGAAAUGAAAGCUCCCCACAGACCAGAAGGACUCUGCAAGUAAAGCUGGCUGGUGCUAGCAGGCUUCAAAACAGAAACACAAAGUGUCAGAAUUAGAUAAAUCAGUUCAAGACACUUCAGUCAAGGGCUGGGAAAAUGAAUACCCAGGUGGAAGACAGGUUAUGAAUUAUGGCAACACCUGAUGCACUGGGAUCUGAAAGACUGUCUGUCAGGACAUCUGAAAAGUUGGACUCUUGUAAGUGGGGAUGUAAAUUUGAUGUUUUCUUUCAGAGACCUGCCUAUGUUCAUCCACAAGGUUCAUAGUGGUGACAGAACUACAGUCCCGUUUUAUUACAGCUGUUGUUUUUUAAACACUUUGUUAUCUUUCCAUUCAUGUCCGAAAUUACACUGAUAAUCCUUGAAAGCACCAGAGCAUGAGUAUCAUAUCUGCAGCUGGAUCUCUCUGCUGGGAAGCUAGUUACACAGCAUGGAAAAUAUUUUUGCUAUCUCAUUUUGAAUCAUUGAUAACAACAUCACAAGUGAAGGGACUGUAUUGUUUGUCCAUGAGAUGGGGAGGAACCACUCCUACAGUCCCAGCAUGUCACCGUCCCGAGCACCCGCUUGCAAGGCAGAGUUACGCGUUUUGUAAAUGAGGAGCAGCUUUCUCAAAGCGUGGGGGACGCAGUACCAGUGCAAGUGACAGAGGGUGAAUCACAAAACAGGUCCCUCCAUGCCAGCUUCCCAAAGCACUCAUAUCGCUGAGCUGAGCUUCAGAACAUAGCACGGAGGACACUGUAAAGGCACCUGAGAGGUUGCCCCCAGCAGCAGCUGGCCCCAGCGCUGGAGCACUUGGACUGAGUAAGGGUAUUGGUGAGAUGGUCAGAAAUUCCCAGCUGACUCACGGCCCCAUUUCUUGGCUGCGCACUGGCCUCUUCACACCUCUGGUGUUGGAAAAGGAAGUGAAACAGCCAGUUCUCAUGUAUAUGUUCAACAGCUUUGAAAAGCCCCCUGAUUGUAGAAAAAUGGAGGAGAGCUGCAAGGUCUGGAGCUGGUUUCCUACCUGAAAGCCAUGCAGGAUGCCGGAUCCAUAGCUGCAGUUUGGCUUGACAGAGGGCCAACACCAACACCACCAUUCUCAUCUGCUUUAAUGUCAGCUGAACUUUUGUGUGCCAUUUUCCCAUCCAGCACCAUCCAGGCAUAUAUCAAGGACUAAAGCCCACAAAGCUUUCUGAGGAGCAGUGACACAAAUCGCGAUCUUGUACAGUGCCCUUUGCUGUCACUCAAUCCAUAUUUUUGACACUGGGAUCCAAAUCAGGACCCCGGUUCAGCACCUACACAAGGAUGUGUCCUAUUCCAGCCUCCCUUGGUCUGUGCAUAUCUUUGGAUAGGCACAUGUUUAAAUAACUCACUACAGCCAUGCCUAAGCCUUGACAAAAAGUAUCACAGCAGAAGGACAGAGAACCGGCUCCAUCAACCACACACAAUGAGAUGUGUUCCAGCCAGCCAAUGGGUAAUCCUGUGUGUACGUACCACAAAUCCACAACAUAACUCACUGUCCUGCUUGGCAGGAGAGUGUUAUUGCCUCUCGGGAUACAAGCAUUCCUGAUCAAAGACUAUCCUUAUAGAAUAAAUAAUCAAACCAAACUAAUGCGUGUGUAUGUAUAUAUAUAUAUCAUCCACAUGGAUUUAUAUGACAUGUUGCGUAUGCUAAAGUCAGUCCAUCUGAGGGGAUAGAAACUGAUGGGGAAGUUGUAGCUAUGAGGAAAGAAUGGGAAUUUGCCUGUGAACCUCAGCAUGGCAGAGAGACCGUUCUCA